rnacentral:rRNA from 1 species
AUUGAACGCUGGCGGCAGGCCUAACACAUGCAAGUCGAGCGGUAGAGAGAAGCUUGCUUCUCUUGAGAGCGGCGGACGGGUGAGUAAUGCCUAGGAAUCUGCCUGGUAGUGGGGGAUAACGUUCGGAAACGGACGCUAAUACCGCAUACGUCCUACGGGAGAAAGCAGGGGACCUUCGGGCCUUGCGCUAUCAGAUGAGCCUAGGUCGGAUUAGCUAGUUGGUGGGGUAAUGGCUCACCAAGGCGACGAUCCGUAACUGGUCUGAGAGGAUGAUCAGUCACACUGGAACUGAGACACGGUCCAGACUCCUACGGGAGGCAGCAGUGGGGAAUAUUGGACAAUGGGCGAAAGCCUGAUCCAGCCAUGCCGCGUGUGUGAAGAAGGUCUUCGGAUUGUAAAGCACUUUAAGUUGUGAUGAAGGGCAGUAAAUUAAUACUUUGCUGUUUUGACGUUACCGACAGAAUAAGCACCGGCUAACUCUGUG